GAUGAUGAGUGAAAUGGCCAGUGUGUAUAUGCAGUGAAGAAAUCUUUUUAUAUCUGACUGCGUUCUUUGAGUCUCUCCAUUUGGUAUUGAUUCUCAGCUUUUUUGUAAUUCUUCCUUUGUGCAAAGUUUAGGCUUCGCUGAGGGGAAAAGGUUUGAUUUGUAAGGCUGCAGAGCUGUAUUUGUGUGACAAGGGAUGUUUUGGCAAACAUAUUUUCUUAGAGAUGUUUCGCCAUCUGGAAUAAUCAAGUGAUACUCAAUUGCUGAUUUGGGAACCUACUGUGUCACACAUCAUCCACAACACCACUGAAUCACCAUGGGCCCUGGAUGGCAAGCACACAGGCAGACAACCGGCCCAUUCCCACAUUAUUUUACAGAUGUGAGUGAGGAAUGGACCGGUUGUCUGUUUUCCACACAGCAGUGCCAUCCCUGAACAGAGUCUGCUGUUUUUAUGAUUUGAGGACAGGACAAACAUUGGUGCUGCUGAUCUGAUGAUUUAACAUUGUAGAUGCUGAGGGAAAUGUAGAGAUGCUUUUCAUUUUCUUUCACAAAAUUUUUGUUUAACCAAAAAAA